UACUAGAUAGCUCAGUUGGUAGAGCGCGGCACUAGUAAUGCCGAGGUCUACGGUUCAACUCCGGCAAGUUUAAUCU